AUUCCGUAGGUGAACCUGCGGAAGGAUCAUUAGUGAACAUAGGACGUCCAACUUAACUUGGAGUCCGAACUCUCACUUUCUAACCCUGUGCAUUUGUUUGGGGUAGUAGCCUUUCGGGGCGAAUCCCUAUUCACUUAUAAACACAAAGUCUAUGAAUGUAUUUAAUUUUAUAACAAAAUAAAACUUUCAACAACGGAUCUCUUGGCUCUCGCAUCGAUGAAGAACGCAGCGAAAUGCGAUAAGUAAUGUGAAUUGCAGAAUUCAGUGAAUCAUCGAAUCUUUGAACGCACCUUGCGCUCCAUGGUAUUCCGUGGAGCAUGCCUGUUUGAGUGUCAUGAAUACUUCAACCCUCCUCUUUCUUUAUGAUCGAAGAGGUGUUUGGAUUCUGAGCGUUUUGCUGGCCUCACGGUCGAGCUCGCUCGUAAUGCAUUAGCAUCCGCAAUCGAACUUCGGAUUGACUUGGCGUAAUAGACUAUUCGCUGAGGAAUUCUAGUCUUCGGACUAGAGCCGGGUUGGAUUAAAGGAAGCUCCUAAUCCUAAUGUCUAUUUUUAAGAUUAGAUCUCAAAUCAGGUAGGACUACCCGCUGAACUUAAGCAUAUCAAUAAGCGGAGGAAAU
rnacentral:rRNA from 1 species